rnacentral:rRNA from 1 species
GGUAAUGAUCUAUAGCUGAUCUGAGAGGAUGAUCAGCCACACUGGAACUGAGAUACGGUCCAGACUCCUACGGGAGGCAGCAGUGGGGAAUAUUGGACAAUGGGCGAAAGCCUGAUCCAGCCAUGCCGCAUGAGUGAAGAAGGCCUUUGGGUUGUAAAGCUCUUUUAGUGAGGAAGAUAAUGACGGUACUCACAGAAGAAGUCCUGGCUAACUCCGUGCCAGCAGCCGCGGUAAUACGGAGAGGGCUAGCGUUAUUCGGAAUUAUUGGGCGUAAAGGGCGCGUAGGCUGGUUAAUAAGUUAAAAGUGAAAUCCCGAGGCUUAACCUUGGAAUUGCUUUUAAAACUAUUAAUCUAGAGAUUGAAAGAGGAUAGAGGAAUUCCUGAUGUAGAGGUAAAAUUCGUAAAUAUUAGGAGGAACACCAGUGGCGAAGGCGUCUAUCUGGUUCAAAUCUGACGCUGAAGCGCGAAGGCGU